GUGCUUGCUUAAGUAGCUCAUAUACUAAAAUUGGAACAAUACAGAGAAGAUUAGUGUGACCCCUACGUGAGGAUGACACGCCAGACUGUGAAGUGCUGUAUGCUUUU